rnacentral:rRNA from 1 species
UACGAAGGUCCCAAGCGUUGUUCGGAAUCACUGGGCGUAAAGGGAGCGUAGGCGGCGUGGUAAGUCAGAUGUGAAAUCCCGGGGCUCAACCCCGGAACUGCAUCCGAUACUGCCGUGCUUGAGGGUUGGAGAGGUGACUGGAAUUAUCGGUGUAGCAGUGAAAUGCGUGGAUAUCGAUAGGAACACUCGUGGCGAAGGCGAGUCACUGGACAACAUCUGACGCUGAGGCUCGAAGGCUAGGGGAGCAAAAGGG